ACGACACAGCCAUCGCCGGAGUGUUGUGGCCAUUUUGUACUUUGCUACAACUCAGCUAACCAGGCUGGCGAUUCACAUUCGGUCUGUCGUUCGUUUCAUUUCUGUCGCGUAGCGUAGCAGUAAAAUGGAGCGAACCUUUAUUAUUAGCUGUCAUAAUUGACAGUUAACCUAAUCGGCAACACUGCAACAAAAAAACGGUAUAUAUGUACAUACAUACGUAAGUGACAUGGACAGACGGAUAUUGGUUUAAACGGAAAAGUAUUUUUUAAGAAGAAACAAAAUAAUAAAUAGCAAAAACUAUAAAAUCUUCCGGAAUGUUAUCUUUGACUAUAAAUAAAUAAAUAGUUGUCCUGGAGACUAAAAACUAGCAAAGGGAGUGGAAGUUUUGUUUUGACAGCCAAACAAACGGAUACUGCCAGAAACAGCUGAAAGGAACAGGCGUCAGAUGCAUUUAAAAAUGUGAUUGCAAUAUCAUCACGUGCGAUUGAUAUUUUGGCCUGCUAUUUAUUAGACCAUUACUAAGUUUUACUUUGUAGGACAAAUUAAUCUUUUAAAAGCAUGUAAAUCAAAUAAUUAAACCACUACAAAUAUGAAUUUACAAUGAAUGCCGUUUAAUGCAAACGGAACAAUUAGAGACAAUAUCCAUUCUCUAUGGACAAUUGACAUAUAGUACUCGUACACAUUUGUAUCUACAUAUCAGACUUUUCAUAAAAUACUUCUAUGCCAAAACUAUAUUUUCGUUAAAACCCAAAUACAUUAGUAACUAUGUCUUUAUUAUAAGAACGCAGAGAUUCAAUUUUACUGUAUUUACAUAUGUAUGCAUGUGUUAUGUUCUUUUUAAUUCAGGCAGUCUUUUAUUAAAAAUCAAUAUGAAUUUGGUAAUGUUUGUUAAUUAUUCAAUUAUACAAUAUAUCUACACUUCCAUGUACAUACUUAUAUAUUUAAGAAUAUCGUCGCUCCUACUACUUAUAUUCUUAUCUUUGUAUUGUGACUCAAGCCUAAGCUUAUGUGGUGAUUUCGGGCAUUGUAUAAACCUAUAUAUGUACAUAUAUAUAUUUCUACAAUGAUUUCGGGUUCGUAUAUACAUUCUGAUGAAAUAAUCGCUUUUGUAAAUAUAUAUGUAUGUAUACGCAAAUGUCUGUUAUGUUAAAUUAUAAAGACAGAUUAACCCGACAAUUCAAAUCGAACUAAUAAAUAUUUAUUAAUUAAAUCAUAAAAGGCAAUAGUGGCGGGCGACUGCAACUGCUUAUACAUAUCUAUACCGAGAAACUAAUUUUAUAUGAUUUAGUAUAUUACAGAAGCUGAGUAUUGAAAAGGACAACAAAUGAAAAGGACAGGACACGUCAUCUGACAUCUCCCUCCCUUAAAUCUGACCUCGUCGAAACAGCACGUUUCUUGGGUCUACCGUUGUAUGACGUCGACGACAACUUAUCAUCCUCACGGGGACUAUGUUCCCGCUAUAACAACAACACUACAUGUCACUGCUAUCAGAAAGAACUCUUCAUGCUACUGCGAUUUUGACCAAAGGACAAAUCUUAGCACACCAGCAUUUAAGUGAAAGACAAAGAAAUGUUUUUACAACUUAUGUGCAAUCUCAACAGAAUGUGACGAAGAAUUUCAAAACGCCAGAACACAGAAGUACGGACACUGAUAGGAUGCCUCGAAUUCCCCUGAAUAUCAUAAGCAAAUUAAGUGCUGCUGAUAUCAUUUCUUAAAAGACGCUGUUUAUUAUCUAUCUUCUGCUGACAUUGUUCUUUGAAAGUCUUCCUGAACUCUUUUCCUUUUAAUAAGAAGCUCUCAAAAUUAUCCUUUGGAUAUAUGUAUCAGCAAUCGAGCACUUUUUAAUUCUCCGCAACCAAUUCUGUUAAUGCCCUUAAUCCAGUUUUCUAACCCAAUCGUCCAUAACGUCACUUGGACGCAAUUAUAAAUUGUAUAUCAAGAAUAUCAAGGAACUGUCAAUUUGAACAAAGCCUUAUUUGUGACCUCAUAAUAUGUACAUACAUACAUGUGUAUUCUAUCAAACGAGAUGAAAAUGUCAUGUUGUUGUUGUUGUAACGGCAGAAUUCUGCCGAGUUGACAGUCCUUGGCCGGAUAAAAAUCCGGGUCCGUUCCGGUUUUCGUAGACCCGACUGUCGUGGGAACGGAUGAAAAUGUCAUCUUUAUAUCCAAUGUUUUUAUAGCAUCCAUUCGUGGUAUCAGAUUUGUGAAUUAAAGGCUCGGGUACAUUGAUUCCGUAAUGGAAAAGUUUGCAACUGCCAGCUGUGUUAAAUGUGUUCAUUUAUGUAUAUGGAGAGCGAUAAUACGUAUUCUACCUGAAAAGUAUCCGGCAGACCAACACUGAACAUUUUGCAUACCCUAACAAAUGGAUUAUAUGUACACACAUAUGUAUCCAGACAUUCCAAAUGCGUUUUCGACUGUAUGACAAAAUUUUUGGAAUACCAAAAUCAAUUGGACAAGAAAAAAUCUUGUAAUUAUGUGGCGAAAUCUUUGGAGGUAAUAAUACCUCCAAGUUGGAAUUAAAAAUUUGUAAGAAAAAAUAACAUUUUAUUAAGAAAACAAAAAUUU